GUCUAAUAAAUACUUGUUUGUAGGGUAUCCAAAAAAAUUAAAGGAUACUACUUCUACCUCGCUGAAGAACAAAAAGUGUUUGUCAGCAACAGGAUAGUCUUUUUGAAAAAAGAGUUCCUUGAUGAAGAAACUAAUAUCAGCAAAAUUAAAUUUGAUGAAGUUCAUGAGAUAGAAAAACCAAUACACAUAAUCGGAUUUGAUUGAAGAAUCGAAUCUGGAGCCUUUAAAGGCACCAUUAAG
rnacentral:lncRNA from 1 species